AAAUAUCUCAUAUUUAUAAGGAGUUGUAAGUACUCUCGUGCGCCUCAAAAAAACACACCCUGUGCGGCGCGCGUGCGUCUAUAUCACACUGUGACAGUCUCUCACACCCGGUAGAGACGCGAAUGUCAUCUUCUUGUCACUUAGUGAGACAUACCUGAGCCACCCACGUUGAGUGACAUGAGCGUCGACGUGAACAUUCGUAGCUCUAUCGAGUGCGUGGCGCGAUUACACGAGAUUUAGGCGUGCAGCAAACUCCGCGUGGAAUAACCUGCGAUCCUAACUACCUCUCCUAGCACCACGAAUGUUCUUUGGCACCUUAUAGAACCACGUGGCAUCUUCUUGUCUGCUCGGUAACGGUUCACGACCCCGAGUACCCUUAGCUUGUCGGAGAGGUAAACGCUCUCCAACGCAUCUAGGGCUAGCUGGACUGAGAUGAUGAUCAGCCACACUGGAACUGAGACACGGUCCAGACUCCUACGGAUAGGCAUCCAGUCGGUGAAUCUUCGUGCAAUCGCGCGACAGCCUGAUGCACCAUCCCCGCGCUAGAGAUGAAAGCCCCCGAGUCAAAAACCUCUGUAAGAAGGGAAGACCGUAUUUCGGGCCAAUACCCCGGGGAUCUGACUGUACCUAUCAAGUGAAGCGACAGCGU
rnacentral:rRNA from 1 species